UACGUAGGUGGCAAGCGUUGUCCGGAUUUAUUGGGUUUAAAGGGUGCGUAGGCGGUUUUCUAAGUCAGCAGUGAAAUACGGCAGCUCAACUGUCGAGGUGCUGUUGAUACUGGGGAACUUGAGUACUGAUGAGGUAGGCGGAAUGGACGGUGUAGCGGUGAAAUGCUUAGAGAUCGUCCAGAACACCGAUAACGAAGGCAGCUUACUAAGGAGUAACUGACGCUGAGGCACGAAAAGUGUGGGGGAUCAAACAGG
rnacentral:rRNA from 1 species